rnacentral:rRNA from 1 species
UCUACGGGGGGCAGCAGUGGGGAAUAUUGGACAAUGGGGGGAACCCUGAUCCAGCCAUGCCGCGUGUGUGAAGAAGGCCCUCGGGUUGUAAAGCACUUUCAGUGAGGAAGAACGCCUGGUGGUUAAUACCCAUCAGGAAAGACAUCACUCACAGAAGAAGCACCGGCUAACUCCGUGCCAGCAGCCGCGGUAAUACGGAGGGUGCGAGCGUUAAUCGGAAUUACUGGGCGUAAAGCGCGCGUAGGUGGCUUGAUAAGCCGGUUGUGCAAGCCACGGGCUCAACCUGGGAACGGCAUCCGGAACUGUCAAGCUAGAGUGCAGGAGAGGAAGGUAGAAUUCCCGGUGUAGCGGUGAAAUGCGUAGAGAUCGGGAGGAAUACCAGUGGCGAAGGCGGCCUUCUGGACUGACACUGACACUGAGGUGCGAAAGCGUGGGUAGCAAACAGGAUUAGAUACCCUAGUAGUC